ACUGGAAACGGUAGCUAAUACCGCAUAACGUCGCAAGACCAAAGAGGGGGACCUUCGGGCCUCUUGCCAUCAGAUGUGCCCAGAUGGGAUUAGCUAGUAGGUGGGGUAACGGCUCACCUAGGCGACGAUCCCUAGCUGGUCUGAGAGGAUGACCAGCCACACUGGAACUGAGACACGGUCCAGACUCCUACGGGAGGCAGCAGUGGGGAAUAUUGCACAAUGGGCGCAAGCCUGAUGCAGCCAUGCCGCGUGUAUGAAGAAGGCCUUCGGGUUGUAAAGUACUUUCAGCGGGGAGGAAGGUGAUGAGGUUAAUAACCUCGUCAAUUGACGUUACCCGCAGAAGAAGCACCGGCUAACUCCGUGCCAGCAGCCGCGGUAAUACGGAGGGUGCAAGCGUUAAUCGGAAUUACUGGGCGUAAAGCGCACGCAGGCGGUCUGUCAAGUCGGAUGUGAAAUCCCCGGGCUCAACCUGGGAACUGCAUUCGAAACUGGCAGGCUAGAGUCUUGUAGAGGGGGGUAGAAUUCCAGGUGUAGCGGUGAAAUGCGUAGAGAUCUGGAGGAAUACCGGUGGCGAAGGCGGCCCCCUGGACAAAGACUGACGCUCAG
rnacentral:rRNA from 1 species